GGGAAUACAAAGCUGAACAAAAUAAAAACAAGACCUCUGCCCUCAUGGAAGUUCUAGUGAAUGAACAACACAAACUCAAUUCUUAUUGCAUGAAGGUUCAUACAAAGACUGCCUUCCAGAACAACUCGGCAUUCCAAGCAAGCCUCUUGUUCCUCGUCUCCAAAUUCCAUCUGAUGUGAUCCAGUAUGACACUAAGGAAAGUGAGUCUACCUUCAGCAAACGUGGCUGCUAAUGGUAGCAAAGUGCGCUGAAGACGAAAAGGUCUCUGCUAGUACUAAGCAUUAUCAUUCUGUUUUGGAUGUCAGUAUGUACUUUAAAAAAAAGAUUCAAUUAAACUGCUUUGCCAC
rnacentral:lncRNA from 1 species